AAUAGAUACCCAGGUAGUCCACGCCGUAAACGAUGAGUGCUAAGUGUUAGAGGGUUUCCGCCCUUUAGUGCUGCAGCUAACGCAUUAAGCACUCCGCCUGGGGAGUACGGUCGCAAGACUGAAACUCAAAGGAAUUGACGGGGGCCCGCACAAGCGGUGGAGCAUGUGGUUUAAUUCGAAGCAACGCGAAGAACCUUACCAGGUCUUGACAUCCUCUGACAACUCUAGAGAUAGAGCGUUCCCCUUCGGGGGACAGAGUGACAGGUGGUGCAUGGUUGUCGUCAGCUCGUGUCGUGAGAUGUUGGGUUAAGUCCCGCAACGAGCGCAACCCUUGAUCUUAGUUGCCAGCAUUUAGUUGGGCACUCUAAGGUGACUGCCGGUGACAAACCGGAGGAAGGUGGGGAUGACGUCAAAUCAUCAUGCCCCUUAUGACCUGGGCUACACACGUGCUACAAUGGAUGGUACAAAGGGCUGCAAGACCGCGAGGUCAGGCCAAUCCCAUAAAACCCAUUCUCAGUUCGGAUUGGUA
rnacentral:rRNA from 1 species